rnacentral:rRNA from 1 species
CUUCCGUAGGUGAACCUGCGGAGGGAUCAUUACACAAAUAUGAAGGCGGGCUGGAACCUCUCGGGGUUACAGCCUUGCUGAAUUAUUCACCCUUGUCUUUUGCGUACUUCUUGUUUCCUUGGUGGGUUCGCCCACCACUAGGACAAACAUAAACCUUUUGUAAUUGCAAUCAGCGUCAGUAACAAAUUAAUAAUUACAACUUUCAACAACGGAUCUCUUGGUUCUGGCAUCGAUGAAGAACGCAGCGAAAUGCGAUAAGUAGUGUGAAUUGCAGAAUUCAGUGAAUCAUCGAAUCUUUGAACGCACAUUGCGCCCUUUGGUAUUCCAAAGGGCAUGCCUGUUCGAGCGUCAUUUGUACCCUCAAGCUUUGCUUGGUGUUGGGCGUCUUGUCUCUAGCUUUGCUGGAGACUCGCCUUAAAGUAAUUGGCAGCCGGCCUACUGGUUUCGGAGCGCAGCACAAGUCGCACUCUCUAUCAGCAAAGGUCUAGCAUCCAUUAAGCCUUUUUUUUCAACUUUUGACCUCGGAUCAGGUAGGGAUACCCGCUGAACUUAAGCAUAUCAAUAAGCGGAGGAAAGG